GAAUUAAGAAACAUCAGGACAAAACUUCUAAUUUUAACCCUAAGCGAAUUAAAUCGUUUUUAAUUCU
rnacentral:tRNA from 1 species